AUGGAUAAGUUUAAACUACCAACCCAAACCCUUAGGACCCCUCUGUUAGUGAGUUCACUUGGAGCAGAGUAUAUGGCUAGUCGAUGGUGCGACCAGAUACCGUUAACCAUUGGUAGCCAUGUUUUUCCGUCCGACCUAAUAAUCUUGGAGUCACAGGGAUUGGAUAUGAUAUUAGGCAUGGACUGGGUGUCAAAGUAUGGAGGAAGCAUUGAUUGUGCUAGUAAGUCGAUUUAUCUCACCACCCCGGAGGGAAAAAGGAUUAAGAAUGUAUCUAGGCAUGCGCCUAGGAGGAGCCAAGUAAAUACCCUCACGGGAGUUGUUCAGGAGGAAGUGCCUGUAGUGAAUGAUUACCCGGAUGUUUUUCCAGAGGAGUUACCAGGCAUGCCACCGGAUCGAGACAUCGAGUUUUUGAUAGAGUUAUUGCCAGGUAUAGGGCCAAUAUAA
rnacentral:rRNA from 1 species